CAAAUUACCCACUCCCGGAACGGGGAGGUAGUGACAAAAAAUAACGAUACGGGACUCGAUAUGAGGCCUCGUAAUCGGAAUGAGUACACUCUAAAUCCUUUAACAAAAAUCUAUUGGAGGGCAAGUCUGGUGCCAGCAGCCGCGGUAAUUCCAGCUCCAAUAGCGUAUAUUAAAGUUGUUGCGGUUAAAAAGCUCGUAGUUGGUUCUGCGUCCCGCGCUGUCGGUACACCGUUUGUCGGUGACACUGGCAUGACGCGGGAUGUCCUGUCGGUGGCGGCGGAGACCAUAUCGUCGUCGGAUAACACCGCGGCGUGUUGGCCUUCUGUCGCCGGCUAUAUCCUACCGCGGUGCUCUUCACUGAGUGUCGAGGUAGGCCGACACGUUUACUUUGAACAAAUUAGAGUGCUUAAAGCAGGCAAAAAUCUCUGCCAGAAUAGUGGUGCAUGGAAUAAUGGAACAGGACCUUGGUUCUAUUCUGUUGGUCUCCGGAACACAAGGUAAUGAUCAAUGUGGACAGGCGGGGGCAUUCGUAUUGCGGCGUUAGAGGUGAAAUUCUUGGAUCGUCGCAAGACGCACUAGAGCGAAAGCAAUUGCCAAGUAUGUCUUAAUUGAUCAAGAACGAAAGUUAGAGGUUCGAAGGCGAUCAGAUACCGCCCUAGUUCUAACCAUAAACGAUGCCAGCCAGCGAUCCGCCGAUGUUCCUUUGAUGACUCGGCGGGGAGCUUUCCCCGGGAAACCAAAGCUUUUGGGUUCCGGGGGAAGUAUGGUUGCAAAGCUGAAACUUAAAGGAAUUGACGGAAGGGCACCACCAGAAGUGGAGCCUGCGGCUUAAUUUGACUCAACACGGGAAACCUCACCAGGUCAGGACAUUGGAAUGAUUGACAGAUUGAUAGCUCUUUCUUGAUUC
rnacentral:rRNA from 1 species